rnacentral:lncRNA from 1 species
AGGAUGAAGGAAAAGUACCUCAUCUUUACGUGGAACUGAAUUUCAUUGAGGUGAGAUUUUCAAAUGCUUAGUCCCUGAAUUAUGUCAUAUCAUAAAUGAGGUAAUAUUGUUGGCAUUUUGACAAAUACAAUUGCGUUAGUUAUCUAUACAACACUGUAUUUUCUCUACACCAGAAAUCCAAGUGAAAUAAAAAGAAUUCUUUAUGCCUUUUACAUCAUUUUUCACUUAUUUGAAACAAUCUUGUUCUAUUAACUUUUCAUCAUAAGCACAAAAAAGAGACAGUUAUAGUGUUUCCCUCUUUUCACCAUUUCAUGAAAUCUAAUUUGUUUUCAUUUCUUGAAUUUGGUAUAGAUUGAUUAUUCACUAAAGAUUCGAAGUUCAACGGAGUCUAAUGAGUGAGGUAAGUAUAUUAGUCUUGAGCAAUAAUAACUCCCUGAACAAUUUAGAUUUAAGGAAUGUACUAUGCAGCAAUAAUGUCUUGAAGAGUCGUACUCUGCACAAAUAAUUAUUUGGUUUCUUUGAAUAUCUGAAUUAUGGAACUUCAGUUUGGCACUUGUAGUGUUAUUUAUUAGAGAAAGAUAGGUUCUUUUGCCUUCUCAUUUCCUCUCCUUUUUAUGAUGAGUAAUUAAAAGAAAGUUUAUUUACAAUCACC